UUUUCCACCCCGUGUUUGGCUUGGCCUGAUCCCUGCGGUGUCUUGCCAAACCUGCAACCUCCUGUCAGGAGCCAUUCAGCCCUGGAUGGGAAAUAUUCCUCAUGCUGUUGUCGGAAAGCUGAUCUCUCAUGUUGUCUUUGUGGAUGGAGGGAAAACACCGAGGAGUCUGAAGGACUAGUUAAAACAGGCUUUCUGAAAAGAAAUCUACAUGGCUUAAUCUCCUUCAUAAAACACCAACGCAGGGUUGCCAGGAAUCUGCGUGCCGAUUGGAUCCAGACUUGCUGAUGCGUGCGGAAACUCUCCUCGCUGCUGCAAAGGGUUCCAUUCAAGAACAUGACUAACCCUUAAUGAAGCCUUCCAGUUCGAUGUUGAUGUAUAACGUGAAGGAAGAGAAGCUGAAAAAUGUGAAAAGAACAGAUGUUCUGUGGUUUCAAGGAGAACACGUCACGUUCUUUGGAAAAUGCAGUUGUUACACCUUAAAGUCCCAGACACUGGAGAUUUCAAACCACAGCUCAGGAUACUGGGAAGAUGAAAAACCAGCAGGCGGCUCUGAAUGGAGCUUCGUUAAUUCACUUGUCAGCUGAUGUUCAUGGCUUUGCCUAGCGCGCUUGAUAUUGUCAUGGGGAAGAUUACGGCGUCCACGGCGUCAGGGAGUUUGUAUUCUUAUGCGGUAUAUAAAAAUGUAAACACACCUGAUUGAAACAGGGAUGAUGAUCAUGAAGAAUGGUCGCCAGCAAGAUGACUGGAGAAGUUUAUUUCGGUACAGUGGUGGAGGAGGGAUGCUCCAAACUGUAUCCCAGUGGAGAUAGCCUGCUAGUGAUGAGCUAGUAUUACUGUAAUCUGGGGGAUGUUUCUCAGAAGACAAAGAGCCAUCAUUAGAAGCUCAGGGGUCAAAGGGACUUUGAAAAAUGCCAAGUGAAUAGCGAAAUUAAGGGAUUAUGAUUAUUUAUACCCACGAUGAGGUAGAAGACACUAUAAGCAACUUUACCCAUUUAUUCCAAUAUAGGACAUAGUGAAGACUAGAAUAUCAGUGCCAAGAGAGUUGUACUUACACUGAGCAUUUAAAAAUUGCUUUUAUUUUAUGUGUCUGUCUGUCUGCCUGCCUGUGUGGGCGGAUGUGCGCGCCGUGUGUGGCAGAGUGGAGGGUGCUCCCUAUGCAGACUCUUAGCUUCCACGCCAGGAGCCUACUGCAUAGUUAACAAUUUCAGAUUUUCAACCCCUGGCCCCGUGACUGUAAAUCUCUAUUAGUUAUUGCUUGUCACCCGGCCCAUGGUACUCCGUUAUACAAGACAGCUGAACUUCAUUAACUCAUUUGCGCAUUAACAUUUUACAACUAUUUAUUUGAAAAUCAAUUUAUUUCAUAAAGGGAACGGCCAUAAAUAUGAAAGAGACAUGAGCCUAUGGGGACAUUUCACAUUCAAACCACAGCAUAGAGAUUCAACAAAUUAGGAAGGAAAAAAAGCUGUUCUGAAGAGGCCUGGGAUUGAAUCCAGUGCCCGAGAAGAGUAGUAAAAUCACAGUGGCAUUGGAAACGGGAAAGAGACUGGCAAAGGAUGGAUGGGAGGGAUUUCUCGCAGUUUUGGAGUGCUGCUGAGGGUAGAAGCUGUAUCCUUGAAAUGGGGCCACCAGCGAGCAAGCAGGUGGCUUUCUUGGAGAAAGUAUUGCUGUCUGCAGGAGGCCGGUGUUGGCAAGAGCCCCAUGAGAGCGGCUUGGGGGAUGGUUCCUUUGAGGAGACACAGAGACCCACUUUAGAAGCUGAGUAGCACAAUGAGAGGCAAGGGGAAGAAGAUAUUCUGAGCUUGCAGACAUGCAUGCUUAAACAUGUGAACAAGAGCACAUGCGACACGCAUGCUCACAUACACCGUAAGUAUGUGACUGCCCCCUUCCAGCUAUGAAAAGCUGGCCGUACCUUCAGAGAUUUUUCUGCGGUCAGCACAGGCCUACCUUCUCGGUGUAGCGUCCGAGUUACUUUUUGUUAACUUGACUGGAGCUAGAGUUAUCUGGAGAAAGGAAACCGAAUUGAGAAACUACCUUCAUUAAGUUGCCUGUGGGUAAAUCUGUGAGACAUUUUCUUGAUUAAUGAUUAACAGGUGAGGACCCAGCCCAGUGUGGGUGUUCCCAUCCUUGGAGGGGUGUUUUUGGGUUCCCUAAGAAAGUAGUCUGAACAAGCCAUGGGGAGCAAGCCCACGGGGAGUGGCACCCCUCCAUGGCCUCAGCUCCGGUUCCUGCCUUGGCUUCCCUUAGUGUUGAGUGGUUACCUAGAAAUAGAAGAUAAAAUAAACCCUAUCCUCUUCAAGUUCCUUUUGGUCAUGGUGUCUUAUCACAAUAAUAGAAAGCUGACUAAGACAGGUGAUUAGUCUAUAUGAAAGAGCAGGUGAAAGGAAUACAAGAGACUGCUCUCCCACCCUGGUGUCAGUUUGGAUGGCCCACUGAACAUCACGAUGGUACAUUACUAAUAAAGAAAAUAAUGUCUUACUUUCACAAGCAAGAAAACUGACAAAGUAGCCAUCACUGGCAGCUUCUCUGUUUUUUUUUUUUUUUUGUAUGUUUUUGACCUGGGUUAAGUCCCUCCCAAGUUAGAAAUGCAGGCACCUCAGUUAGAUUGUCAAAUCACCAUUUUUCCCCCUGAAGACUGGACUUUUCAAAGGAGGCAAAAAGUCAAGAGAAGAAAAGUUGAAGCAACAUGUCCCCUGUGAGUUGUUCUUUGUGCUGCACACAGAAAAUUAAAAGUUGAGUGGAUCUCCAAGUGAAGAAACAGCAAAACAGCACGCUGGCUCAAAUUAAUACAACAUGGUUAGUAUGCAUGAUUCACGCUGUUGGGCUUCAUCAUGACCUACAGGGAAUAAAGAGGCAGUUGCUAAAGUUGACAGCUAAUAAGGACAUGGGAUUGAGGCCUUUCUUAUUAAAUAACCAAUAACCAGGAUGUGUCCAUUUGUUAUUUGUUUUGAGACAAGAUUCCAUUUACGUUAGGGUCAAAAAUGGCCCUGGCACAUCAAUCAGACUUGGUCUAGCCAUCUGUGUUAAGUAGGUUAAUUAAAGAUAAAAAUUUGGCCACAUAGAUGUCUCAGUCAGUAACAUGCUUGCCCUGGAUUUAACCAUCAGAAUGUAUAUAAAAAUAUUGGACUGGUGGUGCAUUUGUAACCCCAGUACUGGGAAAGCACAGACGAGAUUAUCACUGAAGUUCACUGGACAGCCCCAGUCUGGCCUAAUUGGUGAGCUCCAGGCCAACGAAUCUCAAAGGAGGUCGACAGUCUUCCUUAGGAUGAUGCCCAAGGUGGUUCUCUGAAUUGCACAUCAUCUUCUUGCUUACACACACACACACACACAUACACACACACACACACGCAUGUACACAUAUGCAUGCACACACACACACGCACGCACACAUGCAUGCAGGCAGAGAGCACAAAAAAGAUACUGAUAAUAGUGAAAUUUAUUACUACUUACCCAAACUGUAAACUCAAAAGUCUCAAGUCAGGAACCAAUCAGACCGAGUAUAUUUCAGUCUGAGAUUGAGUUUUGCACAUGAGUGUACUAUUAGGGAGCAGAAUGUCUGUUUUCCCGCAACAAGCACGUGGUUACUCUAAGGAUGUCAGUACUGAAUGGAUGUGUUCUCCAAAUGCCCUCCAGGGAAUCCUAACUGACAAUUAUUUUUCUUUGAAAUAAAAACCAGUAAGAAGAACAAUGUAUUCAGAGAUAUAAGAAUGAACUGGUGUCUUGAUGUUUUUAUUUAUAGGGUUUUCAUUUUAUCCUUCAAUUAGCUUUGAUUAAUAAACAACAUAGAUGGUAUUAGAUUCCUCUUCUGUGUGUAUAAAGGUACAUGACUGUGUGUGCAACCAAAUUAAGGACCAGUUUUUGAGUGAUGGACCUCUCUAGCUGUGUAUUUCUUUUCUCUUCUUAAAAGUAGAAUCCUUGCUCAUUAAAAGGAACCUACACUUUUACCUCCCGUGUGCCACUCUUUCUCGUCUAUGGAUUGAUGGAUGAGAAACAUUUGAUCAUAAUUAAUUAAUUAAUUCAUUCAUUCUUCACUCGGCUCUGCUGACCAAAAAACUUUCUGUGAAGCUGAUAAUGCUUCUUCAAUGAAAGACUGAAGAUAAGACUAUCACUUUCUGUCUCAUUUCUUCUGGGGAGAAUAAAAGGAAAAUGUCUAUGUAUGUAAAAAAAAUGUGGAAAAUUGUUUUGCUUUAGGAACAUGAAGAUGUAUUUAGGGAAAACCUCCUAAAAUAAAUGAUACCUCAGGCUAUAUAAUGGUGGGAUAGACUAUGUUAAUGUAUUUCAAACAAGAUCAUAAUCAAAUAUUGUGUUUGGUAUUAUUAAUAUUAAAUAUAUCAAGGAUAUGAAGUUUCUGUUUUU